AAGUCGUAACAAGGUCUCCGUAGGUGAACCUGCGGAGGGAUCAUUAACACUAUUUGGCUUUACACAUGUUUCACGACAUGAGUGAAGUUCAAAUUUUCACACAUUGUGCACUCGUUGGUUAUUUCCCUCAAAAAGAAGUAACUGACCUAACUAUAACUGUCUCGAGGGUUAGGAGGCCGACGCGACGUAGUGAACCAUAUUUCAUCUAUAACUACUGCUACUUUUGGGGUAGUUAUAGGUGGAAAAGGUAGCUCCGCCUCCAUAUCUCGACGCGGUUGAUUUUGGGAGAUGUGACACUCACACAUCUCGUCCCCCCUUUGCCAUCACCUUAAGCCAACGUACUGAUUUAGUUGAAGUAAAUUGAAAGAUUUAUCUUCUUCAUAUAUUCAAACUAAGCACAACUCUUAGCAACGGAUAUCUUGGUUCUC
rnacentral:misc_RNA from 1 species